AAAUCAGUACCACUAAAAACACCACAAAAAUCCAUAUAUUACAGCAAACAGUGUUUUGUUACAGCAGGCAAAACCAGUUAUUCAUUUCAUUUGGAAAAACAUAAUACAUGUGA